UACGGGGGAGCAAGCGUUGUUCGGAUUUACUGGGCGUAAAGGGCGCGUAGGCGGUCGUGACAAGUCACUUGUGAAAUCUCCGGGCUUAACUCGGAACGGUCAAGUGAUACUGUCGGACUAGAGUACAGAAGGGGCAAACUGGAAUUCUCGGUGUAGCUGGUGAAAUGCGUAGAUAUCGAGAGGAACACCUGGCGGCGAAGGCGGGUGCUGGCUGAUACUGACGCUGAGGCGCGAAAGCCAGGGAGCGAACGGG
rnacentral:rRNA from 1 species